rnacentral:rRNA from 1 species
AUUGAACGCUAGCGGGAUGCCUUACACAUGCAAGUCGAACGGCGGGGGGGACGGGUGAGAAAUAUAGAGGAACGUGCAAAGUAGGGGGGGAACAACUCUAGAAAGUGGGGCUAAUACCGCAAAAUAUUAGAUGGGCAGAUAUGGGAUUGGCUAGUUGGUGGGGUAACGGCUCACCAUGGCAACGAUCCCUAGCUGGUUUGAGAGGACGACCAGCCACACUGGUACUGAGACACGGUCCAGACUCCUACGUGAGGCAGCAGUGGGGAAUUUUGGACAAUGGGGGAAACCCUGAUCCAGCCAUCCCGCGUGUAUGAUGAAGGCCUUCGGGUUGUAAAGUACUUUUGGCAGAGAAGCGGUAUCUGCAGAAUAAGCACCGGCUAACUACGUGCCAGCAGCCGCGGUAAUUC